rnacentral:rRNA from 1 species
AUUGAACGCUGGCGGCAGGCCUAACACAUGCAAGUCGAGCGGUAGAGAGGUGCUUGCAUCUCUUGAGAGCGGCGGACGGGUGAGUAAUGCCUAGGAAUCUGCCUAGUGGUGGGGGAUAAACGUUUCGGAAACGGACGCUAAUACCGCAUACGUCCUACGGGAGAAAGCGGGGGAUCUUCGGACCUCGCGCCAUUAGAUGAGCCUAGGUCGGAUUAGCUAGUUGGUGAGGUAAUGGCUCACCAAGGCGACGAUCCGUAACUGGUCUGAGAGGAUGAUCAGUCACACUGGAACUGAGACACGGUCCAGACUCCUACGGGAGGCAGCAGUGGGGAAUAUUGGACAAUGGGCGAAAGACCUGAUCAGCCACUGCCGCGNGUGUGAGAAGGU